CUCGGCCGGAGAAUCCCAUAUUCUGGUGGCGGGAACGGAAAUUUGACCGUUGGAACCACCUGGGUUUCUUUCUUUCUUCUUUCCUUAUAAUUAUUAUUGUUAUUAUUAUUUUCUUUGUUUGAACGUUAGUUGGCUCCGUUAGUUUGGUUGGUUGGUUUGUUUUUUUUGCUCGGAAAUGGUGACGAAAGUGGCGUCUCCGAGGAAGGCGUCGAUGACGGAGGUUUUGCAGAGAGUUUAUGGGAAUUUUAGCGCCAAUAGUAGUAGCGGGUAUAGUAACAACAACCACCAUCAUCAUCAACCCAAGAAAUAUAUGAUUCACGAGACUGAGGAUGAUUUUGAGCAAGAAGAUGGGACUAUGGAGCUGGUCCAGAUUGGCGCUGAAAGAACCAAGAAUGUGUUGAUCAUCAUGAGUGACACCGGAGGUGGCCAUCGUGCUUCUGCUGAAGCCAUUCGUGAUGCCUUCAAGAUGGAGUAUGGCGAUGAAUACAGUGUAACUGUGAAGGAUGUGUGGAAAGAGUACACAGGGUGGCCAUUGAAUGACAUGGAAAGACAAUACAAAUUCAUGUUGAAACAUUUACAGCUAUGGAAGGUUGCAUUUCACAGUACCUCUCCGAGAUGGAUUCACGGUUGCUACCUUGCAUUCAUGGCUGCCUACUACGCCAAGGACGUGGAGGCAGGUCUAAUGGAGUACAAACCAGACAUUAUCAUUAGCGUUCAUCCAAUGAUGCAGCAUAUUCCUUUAUGGGUUCUUAAAUGGCAAGGCCUGCAAAAGAAAGUGAUUUUCGUUACAGUGAUUACAGACCUCAAUACCUGUCAUCCUACAUGGUUUCAUCCUGGAGUCAAUAGAUGUUACUGCCCUUCAAAGGGGGUAGCCAAGAGAGCUGCACUCGAUGGCCUAGAAGAUUCUCAAAUCUGUGUUUUUGGCUUGCCCAUCCGGCCUUCUUUUGCCCGUGCAGUUCUUUCAAAGGAUGAACUAAGGGAAGAGCUCCAGAUGGAUCCUCAUUUGCCUGCGGUUUUGCUAAUGGGAGGUGGUGAAGGUAUGGGUCCUGUUAGGAAAACUGCAGAGGCUCUAGGAGAAUCACUUCGUGAUAAGAAGUUUGAUAAACCAAUUGGGCAAUUAAUUAUUAUAUGUGGGCGAAAUAAGGUUCUCAAGUCUACAUUGGAAUCUCUGGAUUGGAAGAUCCCAGUGAAGGUUAGAGGAUUCGAGACGCAGAUGGAGAAAUGGAUGGCAGCUUGUGACUGCAUAAUCACAAAAGCCGGACCUGGUACAAUUGCAGAGGCAUUGAUUAGAGGCCUUCCUAUUAUUCUCAAUGAUUACAUUCCUGGGCAAGAAAAGGGCAAUGUGCCUUAUGUAGUAGACAAUGGGGCUGGUGUGUUCACCAGAAGUCCUAAAGAAACUGCAAGAAUUGUGACUGAAUGGUUUAGCACGAAGUCGGAUGAACUCAAGAGGAUGUCAGAGAAUGCACUUAAGCUAGCCCAACCGGAGGCAGUGUUCGACAUUGUAAGAGACAUUCACAAGCUUGCCCAAGAACGUGGUCCUCUAGCCAAUGUGCCCUACAUAUUGACAUCAUCAUUCUCAAGUCUAAUUUGAUUGAUAAAUCGAUUCCCUACAUAUUGACAUCAUCAUUCACACGUCUAAUUUGAUUGAUAAAUCGAUCGAUGUCUUCCACUACAAGCUAUAACACUAAGGUUUGUCCUACUGGAAUGCAAUGUAUAUCUAGCUCAAAUAUUAUCAUUCUUUGUCCUCAGGGGAUUUGAACACCAAAAAUGAAGUGUAAAAUUCUGGCAAACAAGCUCUUAUAUCAAUAAGGGAAAAAGGGAGGGGGAGUGGGGGAGGUUGUGGUG
rnacentral:misc_RNA from 1 species